GAUGAACGCUGGCGGCGUGCCUAAUACAUGCAAGUCGAGCGAAUAGACGAGGAGCUUGCUCCUCUGACGUUAGCGGCGGACGGGUGAGUAACACGUGGAUAACCUACCUAUAAGACUGGGAUAACUUCGGGAAACCGGAGCUAAUACCGGAUAAUAUAUUGAACCGCAUGGUUCAAUAGUGAAAGACGGUUUUGCUGUCACUUAUAGAUGGAUCCGCGCCGCAUUAGCUAGUUGGUAAGGUAACGGCUUACCAAGGCAACGAUGCGUAGCCGACCUGAGAGGGUGAUCGGCCACACUGGAACUGAGACACGGUCCAGACUCCUACGGGAGGCAGCAGUAGGGAAUCUUCCGCAAUGGGCGAAAGCCUGACGGAGCAACGCCGCGUGAGUGAUGAAGGUCUUCGGAUCGUAAAACUCUGUUAUUAGGGAAGAACAAAUGUGUAAGUAACUAUGCGCGUCUUGACGGUACCUAAUCAGAAAGCCACGGCUAACUACGUG
rnacentral:rRNA from 1 species